UAAAGACGAGAAGACCCUUAGAGUUUUUCUAAAAUUGAGAUUAUUAAUUCUCAUAACAGUUUAGUUGGGGCAACUUAGGAGCAAAUAAAAUUUAAUCUCCUGAAAAUAAUUAAUCGAUUAUUUUAGUAAUGAAUAAACUACCUUAGGGAUAACAGCAUAAUUUUAUUAUUAAGUUUGUGACCUCGAUGUUGGACUGGGAAACUUAAAGGUUAGCCACCUUUAAGGUGAGUUCUGUUCGAACUAUUAUUCCC
rnacentral:rRNA from 1 species